CCUGUCUGAAUAUGGGGGGACCAUCCUCCAAGGCUAAAUACUCCUGACUGACCGAUAGUGAACCAGUACCGUGAGGGAAAGGCGAAAAGAACCCCGGCGAGGGGAGUGAAAAAGAACCUGAAACCGUGUACGUACAAGCAGUGGGAGCACCUUCGGGUGUGACUGCGUACCUUUUGUAUAAUGGGUCAGCGACUUAUAUUCUGUAGCAAGGUUAACCGUAUAGGGGAGCCGCAGGGAAACCGAGUCUUAACUGGGCGUUAAGUUGCAGGGUAUAGACCCGAAACCCGGUGAUCUAGCCAUGGGCAGGUUGAAGGUUGGGUAACACUAACUGGAGGACCGAACCGACUAAUGUUGAAAAAUUAGCGGAUGACUUGUGGCUGGGGGUGAAAGGCCAAUCAAACCGGGAGAUAGCUGGUUCUCCCCGAAAGCUAUUUAGGUAGCGCCUCGUGAACUCAUCUUCGGGGGUAGAGCACUGUUUCGGCUAGGGGGUCAUCCCGACUUACCAACCCGAUGCAAACUACGAAUACCGAAGAAUGUUAUCACGGGAGACACACGGCGGGUGCUAACGUCCGUCGUGAAGAGGGAAACAACCCAGACCGCCAGCUAAGGUCCCAAAGUCAUGGUUAAGUGGGAAACGAUGUGGGAAGGCACAGACAGCCAGGAUGUUGGCUUAGAAGCAGCCAUCAUUUAAAGAAAGCGUAAUAGCUCACUGGUCGAGUCGGCCUGCGCGGAAGAUGUAACGGGGCUAAACCAUGCACCGAAGCUGCGGCAGCGACACUAUGUGUUGUUGGGUAGGGGAGCGUUCUGUAAGCCUGCGAAGGUGUGCUGUGAGGCAUGCUGGAGGUAUCAGAAGUGCGAAUGCUGACAUAAGUAACGAUAAAGCGGGUGAAAAGCCCGCUCGCCGGAAGACCAAGGGUUCCUGUCCAACGUUAAUCGGGGCAGGGUGAGUCGACCCCUAAGGCGAGGCCGAAAGGCGUAGUCGAUGGGAAACAGGUUAAUAUUCCUGUACUUGGUGUUACUGCGAAGGGGGGACGGAGAAGGCUAUGUUAGCCGGGCGACGGUUGUCCCGGUUUAAGCAUGUAGGCUGAUUGUCCAGGCAAAUCCGGAUAAUCAAGGCUGAGGUGUGAUGACGAGGCACUACGGUGCUGAAGUAACAAAUGCCCUGCUUCCAGGAAAAGCCUCUAAGCAUCAGGUAACAUCAAAUCGUACCCCAAACCGACACAGGUGGUCAGGUAGAGAAUACCAAGGCGCUUGAGAGAACUCGGGUGAAGGAACUAGGCAAAAUGGUGCCGUAACUUCGGGAGAAGGCACGCUGGUGUGUAGGUGAAGUCCCUGCGGAUGGAGCUGAGACCAGUCGAAGAUACCAGCUGGCUGCAACUGUUUAUUAAAAACACAGCACUGUGCAAACACGAAAGUGGACGUAUACGGUGUGACGCCUGCCCGGUGCCGGAAGGUUAAUUGAUGGGGUUAUCCGUAAGGAGAAGCUCUUGAUCGAAGCCCCGGUAAACGGCGGCCGUAACUAUAACGGUCCUAAGGUAGCGAAAUUCCUUGUCGGGUAAGUUCCGACCUGCACGAAUGGCGUAAUGAUGGCCAGGCUGUCUCCACCCGAGACUCAGUGAAAUUGAACUCGCUGUGAAGAUGCAGUGUACCCGCGGCAAGACGGAAAGACCCCGUGAACCUUUACUAUAGCUUGACACUGAACAUUGAGCCUUGAUGUGUAGGAUAGGUGGGAGGCUUUGAAGCGUGGACGCCAGUCUGCGUGGAGCCAACCUUGAAAUACCACCCUUUAAUGUUUGAUGUUCUAACGUUGGCCCCUGACCGGGGUUGCGGACAGUGUCUGGUGGGUAGUUUGACUGGGGCGGUCUCCUCCCAAAGCGUAACGGAGGAGCACGAAGGUUAGCUAAUCCUGGUCGGACAUCAGGAGGUUAGUGCAAUGGCAUAAGCUAGCUUGACUGCGAGCGUGACGGCGCGAGCAGGUGCGAAAGCAGGUCAUAGUGAUCCGGUGGUUCUGAAUGGAAGGGCCAUCGCUCAACGGAUAAAAGGUACUCCGGGGAUAACAGGCUGAUACCGCCCAAGAGUUCAUAUCGACGGCGGUGUUUGGCACCUCGAUGUCGGCUCAUCACAUCCUGGGGCUGAAGUAGGUCCCAAGGGUAUGGCUGUUCGCCAUUUAAAGUGGUACGCGAGCUGGGUUUAGAACGUCGUGAGACAGUUCGGUCCCUAUCUGCCGUGGGCGCUGGAGAAUUGAGGGGGGCUGCUCCUAGUACGAGAGGACCGGAGUGGACGCAUCACUGGUGUUCGGGUUGUCAUGCCAAUGGCACUGCCCGGUAGCUAAAUGCGGAAGAGAUAAGUGCUGAAAGCAUCUAAGCACGAAACUUGCCCCGAGAUGAGUUCUCCCUGAGACU
rnacentral:rRNA from 1 species